rnacentral:rRNA from 1 species
CCUACGGGCGGCAGCAGUAAGGGAUAUUGGUCAAUGGGGGGAACCCUGAACCAGCAACGCCGCGUGGGGGAAGACGGUUCUCGGAGUGUAAACCCCUGUCCUCUGUGAAGAUGAUGACGGUAGCUGAGGAGGAAGCCCCGGCUAACUACGUGCCAGCAGCCGCGGUAAUACGUAGGGGGCGAGCGUUGUCCGGAUUUACUGGGUGUAAAGGGGGCGUAGGCGGCGUGGCAAGUCAGUAGUGAAAUCCAUGGGCUUAACCCAGGGACUGCUCUUGAAACUGUUGGGCUGGAGUGAAGGAGGGGUAGGCGGAAUUCCUGGUGUAGCGGUGAAAUGCGUAGAGAUCGGGAGGAACACCGGUGGCGAAGGCGGCCUGCUGGGCUUUAACUGACGUUGAGGCACGAAAGCGUGGGGAGCAAACAGGAUUAGAUACCCUGGUAGUC